rnacentral:tRNA from 1 species
GUUCCUGUAGUUAAAGAUCAGUUUAACGGUGGUUUUUCAGGCCACAGAUCCUGGAGAGAGGCCAGGCGGGAAUA